AAUUGACUUGUGGCAGCCAAGCGUUCAUAGCGACGUUGCUUUUUGAUCCUUCGAUAUCAGCUCUUCUUAUCAUACUAAAGCAGAAGUCAGUAAGCGCUGGAUUAUUCACCCUCUAAUAGGGAACGUGAGCUGGGUUUACACCGUCGUGAGACAGGUU
rnacentral:ncRNA from 1 species